AUAACCAUAUCAAUGGACUUUAACCCAUCUAUUCAAGCUUGGCUUUCUAAAAUGAUCUAGCUAUUCAUUUGUGCUAACCAUUUUUAUUGACACUUCAAUCCCUUCAAAUUCUCCCUAAAAGCUUUCUUACAACUUCUCAAAUGAAUAUCUUUCCUGAUUUCAAACCCUUAAACAUAACCCAAAGCCCCUUGUCAUACCAUCCCAACAAUUUCCAUGACAACUUGUCCUUUAUAUUUGAAACUUUUGCAAUUAGUCAAUUAGUGAAAUUACUCUAGUCUGCCCAUGGUUUUACUGUAUGUUCAUUCUUGCAUUUUUAUUUAUAUAUUUUAUUGUGUUACUGAUAGUUAAAGGUUUACAUUAUUGAAAAUUAGGAACUUGUAUAAGAUCAAUCCAUUUUAGGGCAUUAAGGUAUAUAAGCAAUAGGAGUUCCUUGGCAGGUAAAUAAUUUACAAGAAAAUUUACAAGGGUGUUUGGCAUAAACGGUAAGAUGCUCAGGCAUAGUGUAAAAUGUAAAGGGAAAGAUGAAAUUGAAACAAAACUAAGAAAG
rnacentral:lncRNA from 1 species